UACAGAGGGUGCAAGCGUUAAUCGGAAUUACUGGGCGUAAAGCGUGCGUAGACGGUUACAUAAGUCGGGUGUGAAAGCCCCGGGCUCAACCUGGGAAUUGCAUUCGAGACUGCGUAGCUAGGGUGCGGAAGAGGGAAGCGGAAUUUCCGGUGUGAGCGGUGAAAUGCGUAGAUAUCGGAAGGAACACCAGUGGCGAAAGCGGCUUCCUGGUCCAGCACCGACGUCAGGCACGAAAGCGUGGGGAGCAAACAGGG
rnacentral:rRNA from 1 species